GAAAGGGUAUGUAGUUUCCGUACAUGCCUGGGCUGGGAUAUUGGAACGAUACAUUCCGGUAGGAUGCAGCAUGAACAGAUGACACCAUUCUUUCUAUAUUAUAUAGAAGAUAUCUGAUUCGCAUUCACAGCCUCAGUUAGG
rfam:Ruminococcus lactaris ATCC 29176 Scfld_02_40 genomic scaffold, whole genome shotgun sequence.